CCGCGCGCGGGGCGGCCCUUCCCCUGCUCCGCCGCCGCGGCGGCGGCAGCUGCAGCGGUGGCUACGACUAAAGGGGACUUCACGCCUACUGCCUCCCCGGCCUGGAGGUAUUUGGUGCAAGUCUGCGAGCAGAACUCCAGGUUGGGGAGCCAGAGGCUUCGGUUCCGCGUGUCUCCGACUGCAGAAAACCGGGGGAGCUUCUCCUGCUACCCACAGUCUCCGGAGGCUGCUCUUGUCACUCCGCUCUCCCAAGGUGCGGGGAUUCUGGGACCCGCUGCUCUCCGCCCGCCGCCGCUGUCGCGGAGCCGCUUCACAGCUUCACAGAGAAUUGCGCGCUUCCCGGGAGCCGCAUCACAGCGCAGUUCCAGUCGCAGGGCCGGGUGGCUCAGCCCGCAGAGCCGCUGAGAGCAGAGGCUGCCAGGCUGGCCUCGAAGAUCCAGAGCGUGGAGGCUGUGGCCUGAGCUUCUCGGGACAACCCAGCUACCGUGGCCUUGGGCACCCCGGAGCCACCUCCCAAGGCCAAGUCAGGUCUCGCUCUUUGAGUCAAGGACUUAGUUCCGGGCGAGCACAUGAGCCGUGCCGACGCACGACCGCGGGGUUGGAUCCAGCCCUGUGGCGGCGGAAUGAAGGGUCCCGGCCACCCCCGGCAGCAGGUGGGAGCGCUCCCCGGUUCACAGACGCUGCGCUUUGAGCCCAGGGCAGCCGGCUCAGGCCCCAGAGCCUGGUCGGGAGGCGGCCUAGGCCCCGCCGCCCUUCUCGCUUCAGCCGCCCGAAGCCAGCGGAACUAGUGUGCCCACUUCGCUCCCAGGGGCCGUUCACACCAAGGGUGCCCCAGGUAUGCUCCGCGACCUUAGGUGGAAACUUGUGAGCCCACUCAGGGUCAUAGUGACGACCCCUCCCCCUCCCCCCAUUGAAUCCAAUAGCUCCACCAGGAAGAUUCUUUAAAGAUUUGGGUAAGUCAGCCAGGACCGAAAAGCCAAAAUUGUGGGCAAAUUGUUGGCUCAACGUCUACCGUGAAAAAGUGCUGCCCUGGAAAGUCUGCAUUUUCUCUAGUGUUUUAAACCGAGUAUACACACAAAACUUCGUUCCAACUGAUGAAAUGGGAAACCUGUUCUCCCACUGAGGAUGGCAAUCAGUAUUUUAAGCGCUGUGGUCCUUUCAGACAGCGAGGAACAACACUGCAGUAGCAUUUAAAAACAAAGAGAAAGAGACUGCUUGAGGCGCGAGGACGCCAGUCUCUUCCUCCUCUGAGCUUUGGCUUCUCUCCUUUUAACUUGUUAAUGGACAGCUGAGACCCCAUUUCGCAGCAGGUAGAGCAAAUCCCCCAUAAGGUUUGUUCUCCAAUUUAGCUUUCCUACCCGGGAGUCUUUCCCCACUCUACCGCCCCUUUUUUGAGAAAGUGCUCACUGUUUUCCCUUUCCAUAACAUUAAAAUGUUCUUAAAAUCACAUUCUUCCCCCAACCCGCCCCCCCCCAAACAGGAAAAUGCAGAAGGAAAAACUAACAAAAACCGAAAACUAAAAACCCAACCCAAGCAAUCUUAUCUUUGAAAGGGAAAAGAGUUAACUUCAGAUUUAACACUCACUUAAGCACCUGAGGCUACCUAAUUGUAAUUAAAAUACUAUUAGGUGAUAUUGGCUGCUCUGCCUUUCUCACUGUCAUUAGUAGUUGUCAUUAAAAAGACAGAUAAGUAGAAAGAUAGAUUCUGGCCCUGUAUUACUAUAAUAAAGAGGCAAGGAAAUGUAUACCAGCUCCCUCCAUCUGGUCUCCUGUCCUUCCCACCCUCCCUAGCUUAGAAAAUAAAUCUUUUAUGGAACUGACAUAGAUAGGCAGGUCCAAAUAGAAGCAUUGAUGGAUUAACACAAGGCAAAUUUAAUUUGCUAUAUUAUUUAUUUUAAUAUAGGAUUUAAAAUUGAUUAUAACUUUUUAAAUGCCAUGGCUUAUUUAUAAUAGAUACAUAGGUUUUUUUUGGGGGGGGGGGUUCAGAAUCCGAGUUGAUAUGUAUUUGGCAUCUUAAAGGAAAAAAACAGUCCUAGACUACAUGUUUUUACCGAUACCAGCUGUUAAACUGUCAUAAGAGUCUUCAAAAAAAAAAAAAAAA
rnacentral:lncRNA from 1 species